AGUGAACGCUGGCGGUAGGCCUAACACAUGCAAGUCGAACGGCAGCACAGUAAGGGCUUGCUCUUACGGGUGGCGAGUGGCGGACGGGUGAGGAAUACAUCGGAAUCUACUUUUUCGUGGGGGAUAACGUAGGGAAACUUACGCUAAUACCGCAUACGACCUACGGGUGAAAGCAGGGGAUCUUCGGACCUUGCGCGAUUGAAUGAGCCGAUGUCGGAUUAGCUAGUUGGCGGGGUAAAGGCCCACCAAGGCGACGAUCCGUAGCUGGUCUGAGAGGAUGAUCAGCCACACUGGAACUGAGACACGGUCCAGACUCCUACGGGAGGCAGCAGUGGGGAAUAUUGGACAAUGGGCGCAAGCCUGAUCCAGCCAUACCGCGUGGGUGAAGAAGGCCUUCGGGUUGUAAAGCCCUUUUGUUGGGAAAGAAAAGCAGCAGGUUAAUACCCCGCUGUUCUGACGUUACCCAAAGAAUAAGCACCGGCUAACUUCGUG
rnacentral:rRNA from 1 species